GAUGAACGCUGGCGGCGUGCCUAAUACAUGCAAGUCGAGCGAACAGACGAGGAGCUUGCUCCUCUGACGUUAGCGGCGGACGGGUGAGUAACACGUGGAUAACCUACCUAUAAGACUGGGAUAACUUCGGGAAACCGGAGCUAAUACCGGAUAAUAUAUUGAACCGCAUGGUUCAAUAGUGAAAGACGGUUUUGCUGUCACUUAUAGAUGGAUCCGCGCCGCAUUAGCUAGUUGGUAAGGUAACGGCUUACCAAGGCAACGAUGCGUAGCCGACCUGAGAGAGUGAUCGGCCACACUGGAACUGAGACGCGGUCCAGACUCCUACGGGAGGCAGCAGUAGGGAAUCUUCCGCAAUGGGCGAAAGCCUGACGGAGCAACGCCGCGUGAGUGAUGAAGGUCUUCGGAUCUUAAAACUCUGUUAUUAGGGAAGAACAAAUGUGUAAGUAACUAUGCACGUCUUGACGGUACCUAAUCAGAAAGCCACGGCUAACUACGUG
rnacentral:rRNA from 1 species